UACGGAGGUGGCAAGCGUUGUUCGGAAUUACUGGGCGUAAAGGGCUCGUAGGCGGCCAACUAAGUCAGACGUGAAAUCCCCAGGCUCAACCUGGGAACUGCGUCUGAUACUGGAUGGCUUGAAUCCGGGAGAGGGAUGCAGAAUUCCAGGUGUAGCGGUGAAAUGCGUAGAUAUCUGGAGGAAUACCGGUGGCGAAGGCGGCAUCCUGGACCGGCAUUGACGCUGAGGAGCGGAAGCCAGGGGAGCAAACGGG
rnacentral:rRNA from 1 species